GGGACUCCAGUCUGUUCACCCCAGAGGUAAGUGUGCAAUGCACCCUAACCUGUCUGUUUAUGUGAUUAAGUAGACUUUUCUUAUAGGGCAGAGGAAAUCCACAACGGCUACUUAUUCCUUUACUUUUAAAUAUUAAUGUGUAAUAUGAGUUCAUUAGAACCCAGGGGGAGAAGGAAACAGAAACAACCAUCAAAAGAUGUUUGAGAAAUCCGUGACUCACUUGUGAAGCAUUCUAGACUUUAAGCAAUUGUUGCAAAGUAAAGGCAGAGAAAACUUUUGGCUUUGAAGUUACAAUAGAAGGAAAUGCAAUCCUAACCUUCAACCUGGCUUUGAAGUAACAAUAUUCAAUGGUUAUAAGAGCGCAAAUGCUGUUUUCAGUUUUCAACCGAUAGCAAAAGUUCCUAAGAGUUCAUUCAUUAUGGUUUUGGGACAGAUGGAAAUGUUAACUAUCUUGAGAAAGCAAAGGUUAAGAGAUGGCUGGAGUAUAAUAUAAGUGAGUUAAGUCCUUGCCUUUCAUGUCUGAGAGUCAACAUAUAUUGUCUAAAGUUUUUUUUAAAACUCAAGAGAUGCAAGUACCUUAUUUACAGGUUCGGAGAUAAUCAUUAGAAGGCUUGAACACAAAAGAGAUUGCCUCUGGAGAAAGAACUGGGAUGAGAAGGGGUGGGGGUAAAAGAGUAUAGCUUUUUAUCAUUAAUUCUCCUGUUCUACGCUAUUUUAUUUUUACCAUAUAAAUGUAUUUUUCUAAUAAACAUAAGAUUUAAAAAAUGACAAAGUACCAAGGACAUAGUAGAUCCUCUAUUAUUAUUAUUAUUAUUAUUGGCAGUUACUAUUUCCAGUGUGGUGUUAUUUUUCCGGGGGACUUUAUUUAAGGAUUAAUCAUGAUAAUACACUAUAAUAUUUAUACUCUAUAGUUAAUAACUGUAUUCUUGGGUUAACAAAGGGAUGUGGGAAAGAAACAAGAAGGGAAACAGGAAGAAUAGAGAAGUUAAAUAGGAAAGUUGUUGAGAGUCAAGUUGUGGAGUUCAGAAUGGGAGUGGUGCUGAGUCCUCCAGGAGCAGGUUCCCAACAGGAGGUUGAGCAUUGGGAGCAGCCAGAGCCCAGGGACACUGUUUGGAGCCUCAUUCACAUACAGCAAUAGACUCUCAAAAUGAUGCAAGUCACAGGUUCUGCUCCAGUGCCCUUGGCUCCUUGCCAGGUAGGAGUCUCCUGGCACUCUGCUCCGUCCUCCUCACACACACAUAGCGUCUGUCUCUGCAAACUCUGCCGUCAUAUAGGCCAUCCCCAGCACCAUCACCUAAAGCCUUUCCCAGAGAUCUUGGCCCUCCCCAAUGUCCCCUUAGCUGUACUUCUGUGGAGCUCCAUAUUGUCACAUUUGGUAACAGUUGGUAUCAUAGGCUUUACUAAUAGAUUGGAAGUCUGAAUCCCUCUCCCCAGCUAGAUCAGAGGUGUUUUUUAUUGGUUUGUUUCAAGGAAGAAACCCUGACAGCAUUCUUUUUUCUGUCCUUGAGAACUUACUAAAGCUUCAAAUAAGCAAUUACAUUUCCAGUUGCUGCAGAAAGUAAUGGUUGAAGUCCUCAUUUUAACUGCAAUAACUUUAUUUCCCUACCUUGGAUCAAACUGUAAUGAGGGAACGUUAACACACUUCACUUGUCUGGUUUGCAACAUGGUGGUGGCUGUUGGGACCCCAGACCAAUCACUUUUUAUUCUCUGGGGCAGGCAGCCUGGAGUGAUAAGAAUUGGAAACCUGAAGUAGAGACAAAGCAUUCUAGCUGCCUUUUGUUCCAGGAGCUACUACCCCCAGAAAGAGCAGAAUCAUCCAUACAGCAGGUGUGAGUUCAUAACUCAUAGGUCAGAGCAGGGCACCGUAUAUGGCUUGGCCUUUGUUACUUAGAAAAAAAAAUGGGGCUCCAGUAAGGACAGGUGCAGACGUGAUGUCAUUGAGAGGGGAGGGCUGUUUGUGGGGCAUUCACUGCCCCUGCUUCCACGCACUCUCCUCCAACACCAUCCUUACAGAUCAAAAUAUGAGUUCUUCCAAUUAUUUUCGUGUCUAUGCCAAGGUCAUUUCCUUUUACUCAUUUUUAGCAGACUUCUUUCAAGUUCAGGUCAAGGCCUCCGCUCUCAAAGGAAGCAUGUCAACAUUUCCUCCCCUUGUUGCCCCUCACAUCGUGGCAACCGCUAACAACACGUGUUUAUCUGGAGAGCCCCAGGCAGCCAACAUGCUCAGACAAGCCGAACAGAAAACUCUACUGUGCGCGAGAGGAUGGAGUUUUUGGCAUGCCCUGUGGCCCUGCAAGCAACAAUGGUUUUCCAAGGAAGAUAUAUUUACUUUCAAAGCUUUGUUCCCACAAGUGCUCAGAAAUACAGACCAGAACACACUCCUGACUUAACUGCCUUUUUCCCCUUGUUCAUGAAAGCAUUCACAAAGGACAGGACACUCCUGAUGUGUCCAAGCGAGAACAAAUCUAUCACUCACUUUUCUUCCAGCUUCUUUCAAUUCGACAGAGAAGUCUGAAUCAAAGGCAACACUUCCACAGCAAUAAUGAAGAAACCAGAAGUCAAGUAGCAGAGAAUGAUCAAAUCAUACGCUUUCACCAUUCCUUCUGUGUCUCAACACUUUUCCCCAGGGCACCCUCGUAAUUGUGCUACAGCACCGUUUAUUAUUUACAAUUGCCUUAUUUUCUUCUGAGAUCAGGCUUUGUUUAAAAGUCCAUUCAAGAUUAGCUGUACUUCAACUAAGGGUCACUUGAAGUUUCUAUGUAAUCAGCUACAUGUCAAAUGUCGUUAUGUUACAAGCCCCCAAACCAGCACAUAGAGGAAAUAUAUUCACCUAAAUUCAAAGAAGCUGCAAUAUCUCUUAACAGAACCUUAACAUCUACAAGGAUGUGUCAAAGAAACGACAGGCACACAGUUUACUCUGCUGUCUGGUACGUGGCACUCGUCUCUGGCACACGAAUAUUUAUGUACACUUUGUGGGAGUCUUGCUAAUUGUAAUUAUGAUUGCUUACUACAGUUUCCAAGGUAACAGUUGUCACUUCGAUGCUUCACUGCCAACUCAAUUUCCAUUCUCCCGCUGAUAUAACAAAUAUUAUGUGACAUUUUAACUGAAAAUAUCUGUAAAUGGGCGUCUGAGUGUGGUGUGUUUCUUUAAAAGGGAAGGAAAACAAUUAUUAGCUUUUCAUUAUUCAUCUCGGAGGCAUGUUUGAUCAGUAAUUACUCCAAUUUUAUAUUUGGAAAAGAAUGAACCAGGGUCCCAUGAGGUCUUGGAUUUGGAGGUUCUAGGUUCCGAUCCAGCCUCUCCAGAUGAACCUCACAACUUUGGCUCAGCAAUCAGGAGCUUAUCCCAAAACUCUCCCACAGCAAAGGGAGCCCUGCCCCACCCUCCAUUGGCAUUGCUGCCCCACCCCUUCUUUUCCCAGUGUGCUCAUCUCUCUUAUGGGGUGGGCCUGAGAGAGAACAGAUAAAGCUCCUGUUCUCCACUAUGGCUACCUUUUAUGACACUCCCACCUGUCCAAAUAGCAGAUUCAUUCAGAGAGCAAGUCAGAAAUACCUCAUGAGCAGGAGGUGCACCUUGCAAAUCUAUUCUGGUGAGGACCUGAAUGAAAACCUUUUCCUCAGCCCCAUGGUGUCGCUUUCAAACAGGUAUCCUGCAGGGACCCCCACUUCCAGCCAUUUCAAGGUCACUUCCUGCCUUGACAGGAGAGGUACAUCUAGCAUAGGCAAUGCACACAUGAAGUAUUUCUCUACUGGUGUGAGUGUGCACACAAUGCUUAGUGCUCAGGAGGUUCUGGGCAGGGUAUGAGACCAAGCCUCAGUUCUUGCUAGCCUUUGUCUUAUUUCCAGUGUCUCCACUGGAAUUUCUCAACCCUGCUCACUUUCAGGCUGAAUUCCUAACACACUGCCUGACUGUCACCUGGCUUAAGAUCCUACUAGAUGAAUUUACCAACGCAGGAUGCAGAGCUGCUGCUUGCCUCUGGCAAUAGUGUGUGUUCUGACUUCUGGUCCCCACCCUGUUCCCAUGGUCACCUGCCAUCUCAAGCUAUGCCCUCUUCCUAUUCAGUUCUUUUUGCUUUGUUUCACCUUUAAUCUCCUGGAAGUCAGAAAUCAUGACUCUCACCUGUUCUCUAUCUUCCCAUAAAAUAUGCUAAUCUUUUAAUAAUUAAUUGAUCAAUAUCCAAUAUUAAUAUGCCAAUAAACAUCCAAUGUGGAUAUAUGAAACAGUUCAAAGAAUGAACUGAGUUUGAGCAUCUUUAAAUCUACAAAACUCUCCUCACGCCUCCAUAACAAAAUGUACAUUAUAAAAUAGUGCUUAAAGCAGUCAUUUAAACCACAGAAGAACAGGAAAUCUCCUAUGGAGUUGAUUAAAAAUAUAGAUUAUACAAAUUUUGAGCUUGUUCUGUGAACAUAUUAAAAAAUUAUUGUUGGUUUUAUUAGGUGUGAUGCUAUCAGUGUGGUUAGGUUUUAUAAAAGACUCCUUUAUCAUUUCACAGUGCAGGCUGAAAUGUUUAUUUAAAAGACAAUGUCUGGGGAGAGUGAGCAAUGGUACCGGUGACAACAAACUUAGAUGAGUUGAAACUGGACAAUGGGACAUAGCAGUUCACUGUGCCACAUUCUCUUACUUUUCUAUUUGAAACUUUUCAUGAUAAAAAUAUUUAAAAUACAUAAAUACAGCAAAAUGGUGAUUAUUGCUCAAUCUAGGUGAGAUUAUUUAAUCUCCUGAAGGUGAGAAACUAUUCCAUACUUUAAUGUAUGUUUCUUUGAAAAUUAUAAAUGAAUGAUAAUUUUUAAAAAAUGCUUCAAACAUAGAUUCUUAACCUCUAAUCCCUCUAGUGAUUUCUGGAACCAAAUUGCUACAAGUGGGGUAUAGACAGGUAUAGUUUUCAAACCUCAAUAAUUAGGAAUCCCUACUUAUUCUUUAUUAAUUUAUUUUUUGAUACUCAUAUUACUUAAAAGCAAUAUAUCUAUCUUAUAAAAUAUUUUAUAUUUUUAAUAUUUCCCUAACUUGGACCCCACUCUUCCAUACCCUGAAAAUACAAAGUUAAAAGGAUUUAUUUUGUAUUACAUGUUUGUUCUUCCUUGGGAUGAUAUCUCACAAUCCACUUUUUAUAUAAUGCUACCAUCUUGAUUGUUCUAUUAUAUUAAAUGAAGAGUUUAUGAAAAUCCACUGAGGUGAUUGGCUUCAAGAAAGGAUAUUUUCUGAAUACAUUAACAGGAAGAUUUCAUAAUGUAUUAUUCUAAAUAUAAAUAUUUUUCUGUAGCAGAGAGAAAUGGUAAUUAUUUAAUCUUGGUAGUGUCUUGUGUUAUUUUCCUAUUGUUGACACAAUAAAUUACCACAACUUUAUGUAUUAAAACAAUGAAAAUGUAUUAUCUUACAGUUCUGGAGGUCAGAAAUCCAAAAUGACUCUUACGGGGCUAAUACCAAGGUGUGCACAAUGCUGAUCUCCUCUAAGAAACUCCCCUUUAUAGUGUCUAGAGACUGUUCACAUUCCUUGGCUCAUGGCCACAUCACCCUACUGCCAUUGUCACAUCUCUUACCCUGGCCUCCUGCCUCCCUAGUAUAAGGACCCUUGUGACUAUAUUGGGCUCAGCCUGACAACCCAGAAUAAAAUCUCUACCUUAGCAAACACAAGUUAGGCUGGGAAUGGAGGAGUUGGGUAAAUAUUUAUAAAAAGGCUACAGAGGUGCCUUAAGAGCAGGUGGGAAACCAGAGUGAACCCUCUGCCCAUGUCUCACCUCUGCUUCACUAUGCACAUAAGAUGUUUAACUUAAUCAGAAACACAAAGUCACUUUUGCCAUUGAAGGUAACAUAUUUAUGGACAUAUCUACCACAAUACUCUUAUUAUUUUGCCCCCUGAAUUCAUUGUAUCAAACAGUUAUUGCUGCAAUAAUGUUGUGUUAAAAAAAAAAAAAACCUACUUCAAAAUUUAUGGCAGCGAGCAUGUAUUUUUCUCACUUAUGGAUUGCAGACUGGCCAGGAUGUCUACUUCAGGCUGAGAGUUGGGUGGUUGGGCUUCAAGAUUGAGAUUAGGCUUGUGUCUGUUCCACAUGUUUCAAUCAGGCUGCAGCAGCAGUGAAUAUCUUUGACAUGUUCUUUUCUGCACAAUCACAAGCAUGCUGGAGGACAAGCUAAGCCUCAGCUUGCAUUUCAUCCACUCACAUUCUGUUGACCAAGUCACAUGGUCAAACCAAAAGUUAGUGAAGCAGGGAAGUAUUAUAUUUCAUCACAAGGGAGAGAGGAAAUAGAGUGAAUAUUUGCUGAACAAAAAUUCAAUUUCCUGUUCAUUAGGUGUAAGUAAUAUCAGGCAGCUUAAAACUUCUCAGUGAUUAUAUAUUUUCCAAAUAUUUUCAGGUUUGACAGGUCACUGAAAUAAUUUUCAGGCUUGACAUGUCAUAACAUCUUACUGUGACUUCUUUAAAGGCAGCAUUCCUUACACUGUCUCCAGAAAUCAUUUCUAGGACAUGGAUAAAAAUCAGGAAGAAGAUAAGAAAGACCACUGAGCAUCACCAAAAUGGAUAAACUGAGGUGUGUGGACAAUUUACAUAAAAGAACUCUUUCCAUAUAUAACUAUACACUAUUCUUACUUUACACAACAAUUCUAACAAUGUUGAUUAUGUCAUACCUAGCUGCACAAUAAAAUAAUAGAGAGGGAGAAAGAGUGAGAGCCAGAGAGAGAGAGAGAGACAGAAAUAAUAAAAACAAUAAAGCUAAUAGAUAUAAUCAACAAGGAAAACAUAAAAAUUGAUUGAAUCUUUUUUAAAAAAGCACAAAAGAAUGCAGUUAUUUGAUGUAGGGGUAAAGAGCCAUUCCCAUAUAGCUCAAUGAUUCAUAAGGUCCUCAUAAUUGCACCAAAAUUUAAGAGCAUUUGAGCUAGACAGUAAGAUCCCCAAGGGCAGGCAUCUUGCACACCUUGUUCACCACUGUUUUCCCAUUUUCUAGCACAGUGCUUUGCAUGCAUUCACUAAAUAUUUGUGAAAUUAAUGUCACAAUUUUAAUCUGGUUUAUUAUUAUUCUAUUUAAGAUGGCAGAGAAGAACUCUGUGUACUGGAAAAGUAUCUGAACAAACAUGAACUAGGCUGGGAAUGGAGGCGUAGGGUAAAUAUUUAUUUAAAAAAGGCUACAGAGCUGUCUUAUGAAACCCAAAGGCAAAAGAGCAGGUGGGAAACCAGAGUGAACCUUCUGCCCAUGUCUCACCUCUUCUUCACUAUGCACAUAUACUUCAACCUCUCCAAAGAUUAGCUUUCUCUCAGGAAACAAGAAGGGUGCCAACUGCAAAUCCCACAUCUCCAGAAGUUUUAUAUUUCAGGACUAGACUGAUGCAGACAUGGACAGCAUGUCUCCUUCUAACCUCCAAAAUUGACAUUCUAAGCAAAUUGUACAGAAAAAGGAAAUAAAGCCUUGUCCAUUGCUUACCCUUACAACACUUCCAAUUUCUUCCUCUUCCCACCCUGUUAGCACCCAGUAUCAUUGCCAGGAAGAAAGAGUCUGUCAUUACUGCUGCCUUCCCCUCUCUUUGAUCCUAUCUGACUUCUGGCUUGUGUAUGUUGGGAUUCUUGCAACACUCUUGCCCAAAGCAUUGACAGGACCUCCAUCGAGUAUGCAUUUGAACACUGCACAAAGAAACCCAAUAAAGGGAAAUUGAGGAGGACAAAAUUCAGCCCAGCCUCUGAAAGAAGCUGCAUUCACCCUGAAGAAGGGGUGUCUUUUGUAAUUCAGGUCGGCCCAAAGAAGCAGUUUCCUUACAAUUUACACAAAAGCCUUCUUGUAUACUAGCAGUGGCCCAGAGCACUGCCAGAUCCAAGCUUUGCUAGACAUUUUUAGGUCAGUGCUAUCACUUGGGUCUUCCCCUCAUGUCCAGCAUCAAUUGAUCUGACAAAUAAUGAAGUAACAUGAAGCCCACAUAUCAACAGGGUGAAUUUGACCAGUUUCCUCUAAGACAAUGAAGGAGUGCAGGUAAUGUGUGCUAUAAAAGGAAAAGCAAGACAGCAGAAGACUGUAAUAAAAGACUAAAAAUGUAUGUCUUCACACCCUGAUCCCAGAAUGGCACCCUCAGUUUUGAUUGAUACAACCAUUAAUGCAAAAUACUACACCAGUUGAAUCAAAUCUCUUGGUCUAUGAACUAAAAGUUUAGUUUUCCUUGUGUAUAUUUGUUCCAUUCAAGCUCCCUAGGUAACGAGCUUAUCUGAGACAAAGUUCUCUUAUUGCAACUCAUUGGCAAAGACCUCAUCAACCAUAAAAUAAAAACUGCUAAAAGAUUUUAAAGAGGGAUUAAUUCAAACUUUGGGAAAGGAGAGAUCAUUUGCAAUCUCAAUGGGUUUAGAUGGUUAGGUCUUUUUGAAAUCAACAUAUAACAUCAUGAGGAUGAGGAUGAGGAGAAUAACUCCUUUUUUCUAAAAAUGCCUUUUCAGCACAAACUGAGCUACCACUUCAUGAACAAUUGGGCACCCAAAUUAUUGGUAAUAUUUCAAAAGAGUAAAUGAAGCAAGAGAGAUCAUGAAAAGCAGGAAAUAUAUGGAUGCAAUUUUGAGCCUAAAUGAACAUGGAGCGCCAUAUACAAAAUAAUCAGUGAGAUGUGAAAACUGAUGUGGAUCCCUUUGAUUUGAAUCAACAGGGUGUGAAGGACUCUUAUUAUUCAAAGAAAACCUUGGUGCCAGCUCUCCCUCAGUCAGAGCCAGACAUGUAGGGUCCUAGCUUUGGAGGUACAAAAGCCCAGGAUUGAGCUGCAUCCCAGAAGGUUAGAAAGCAGUUUAGAGGGGAACAAUAUCUUCUGGAAAAGUUUCUUCCCUAAUUUUAAAAGUCUCUUGCAAUUGUAGGACUUCUCUGACUCAUAGAAGAGAGGCGAACUAUAUUUUCAGACCAAGCCCAGUGAAAUUGAUGUAUUAUAAUGCAGAGGACACCUCCACAGACAUUGUUUCCUGAAAUCAACGUAAGGCAAGAAAGAACAGUGUUCUUCCUAUCCCAAAGAAAGAACUAGGGUGAUUUUGUCAGGGCUCCAAGGUACCCCAAAUAUCUGAAACUUCUCCUGAAGUUUCCAAACUUUGUUCGGUCAAGUCCCAGGUAGCAAGAGGCUGCAGCUAAAGAAAAGGGCAGCCCGGGUGCGAUGGUGAAAGCAAUUUCAAGGAAUUGCUUAAGGCUUACUUCUUCAAAAUCACCUUAAAAAUAACAGGAGAAAAUUUGACAAAACUCUGUUCUGUGUCAGGAUUAUAUGUUGGAAUCUUAAUCUGUGUGUAGGCUCUAUAUUCCCCCUUGCUUUCUCUACCCUCCUCAAGGCCAUUUUUCCCCUCUUCUAGCCAAAAUGAAAGGGGGAAACCCCUCGAAGAUGGCGCUACCUGAGAAUGGGACAUUAAAAAGCCUAUGCAGAAAGGCUUUCCACUGAAAGAGUAGAUAGAAAAAGUGCAAAGGGAGGUCAGUGUGCAGAUGAUAAGUGUAAACUGGAAAAGAAGGAAGACUCCCAGAAAUCCUCCAAAGGGGAAAGAUAGAAAGGACUUUCUGCUUGAAGGUUGAAGAGAGAAGCAGAAAGGUCCUCCGGGUGGCAACCCAGCAACUGAAGGACAAUCAUCCAAGAAUGGUUGAAGACUGAGAAAACUUUCCCCUUAACCAAUGUGGCAGCAAAACAGACUCAUUUUGGAAGUUUCCUCUGAGCCCAAAUAGAGGUGGACACAUUGCCCCUACUCCAGUUAAGCCCAUCACAGGAGAAUGCACUGGAAGACCUUGUACUAAAGAAAUCACCAAAUGAGCCAGUGGAAAAACACAGAGAUAACUGAGGAAUUAAAGUUAACCCAGUUUUUCUUACCUUACAGUUCAAAGAACCCAUGGCGAUAAAAGAAUUUGCCCUGUAACUGUUUUUUUUAUUUCUUAUAUUUAUAAUGUAGAAAUCCUGUGCUGAUUUCUAAAAUAUUUAAAUGGUAUUCAUGUCAUUCUACCUGGUGGAGAGACUUCCAACUGGACAAUGAUGUUUUUUAAUUGAGCCUGAGGGUCAGGGGUACAUGUGGACACAUUACAAAUAGCAUCACAUCUGUGACCAACAAUACUGUGAGAGUGGUAAAAUGCAUCAAAACCAUUGCACAAUAUGAACAGAACAGUAGACAGUGUGAUCACCCAGGGCUCCUUGAUGCGAAGCAUCUGCCCCUUGAUCUUCUCACUAUGUUCGGUGAGCUGGUGAAAUCACAGCAGCUUUCUUGCACCAGCUGUAUCCCAGGAGUGAUUUGACCAGCUCUUAGUCAGAAGACAUAACUAUUGAAAUUUUACCAACAUUUGCACAAAAAUACCCUGAACCUCCUCCUGGGAAGCAUUGACAUAGCUCAUAAAACUGGAAAGUCUGUAUAUAUAUAUAUAUAUAUAUAUAUAUAUAUAUAUAUAUAUAUAUAUCCAGAUAUUUAUGAGCUUAGGUUCUUGAAAUAUUAAGAGAUUGCCUCAACACCAAAACAGAUGUACGCUGUGCUAGAUGUCUAUCACUCAUCUGGAUUCUCCACAGUAGAGAAACUCAUAAAAGAGCCUCACUCAUUAACAGUGAGUUAAGUAGAAGUGAUACUUUUUCCUAUAAUUUAUGAUUUAAACUUUUUUGUGUUAAAACAGAUAUAAACCUACCGCAGAAUAAAACAAAACAAAACAAAAAAAACCAUGUGAAUUGCUGACACAAAAAUGAUAAAGAAUUUCUUCCCUGAAGAGGACAAGUGUGGAAGCUGGCCCCAGAUUUCUGAGAUAUCAAUUCAAUGUCCACACUAUUAAGGACACUUAAGGGAAAAGUUAAGAAGUCCAUGAACAGAGAAGUCUAGAAGGCAUUAAUAGCUCAGCUUUCAUGACUGUUCAUGCCAGAAAAGGUAGUGUCAAUUGCUAAGUCUUUGCAAUAGACAUAGUUCCAGAGGCAUAGUCACAUAGCCCUUGAGAAAUAUGCAGAAAUGUGGACAAUACACACGGCCUGGAAAUAGAUCUGAAAGAACUGUCAGAAGAGACGCAGUCUGGAAUCUGCACCAUCUAAAUAUGCUAAAAAUAAAAUAUUCAUUAGCAGACAGACUAUUUCAACUGAACAUGUUUUAAAAGAUGGCAAUGUUAGCUUCAUUUCCAAAUCCUUAAUCACUUAAUUGUCAGACUAUCUUCACCUGUGUUAUCUGUGGAUAUGGUGUCUUGGCUAACCCAACUAAAAAUAUCAUAACAAAUCUUUCUUUCCUUAUCCCUACCAGCCUCAGCCUCAACCUCCCCCUCCAGUUUCAGAUAGCAUCACAUCCGUUAUCAUUUGUCUUCAAAUAUCAUCCCUUCCUACCCUUCCCCAACUAGGGUUCACCUCGCCGCAUCAGUUAUUUACGUUGUAAUCAAACCUAUCUCUCAAUUGAAACUUUGAAAAAUAAUGCAGGGAAAAUUAUUUUGAAAUGAAAUGAAAACUUCAGUAAUUUGAUUUGCAGGAAAUGAAGAACAAAGUGUCACAAUCCAAGUGCUUUUAAAUAAGUCAUAAUUAAUUACGCAUGCAUCUAUGUUUGGAUGCUCAAUUUAUGACUAAUUAUGCAGAAAAUGUAAUUGCAUACUGAAGCAUUGAAUUGCACCUUCUCUUGUUCUUAUUUAUGCCAAACGUGGGUUGUGAGAUUUUGUUGUUGUUGUUGUUGUUGUUAAUGGUAUGUGCUGUGUGCAACUAUUGAAAUUGUUGCACUGUUAUCAAGACACAACUGAUCACAUGAUCUCUCCUAAAAUAUAAUUGUUCCCGUUGAGAAAAUUGCAGAAAGACCUAAAAUUGUCUCCUAAUUUGUCCUAUUUUUUAAAAAAAACUUGUAUGCAUUUCUACAUUCUUUUGUUCUCUACUGGAAUACACUUGCUAAGAAAUCAUAUUAGGCACAUCCUGUCAGUUUCCUUUUCCUAUGGAUUUGCCAUAUAGACUUUUUAUUUUCUUGGAAGAGUCAUAAAGCUCAAAGGAAUCAUGAAUGACCAUCACAUUUAUGUCAUCCCAGACAGGCUUCUUUUUAAUGACACUAAAGGGAAUUUGUAACCUUUUCUCCAUCUUAAGAAGCCUAAUAAAGUGAAUAUCAAGGAAGCAAAGGAAAUAAAACCAAAUUUAAAACUUCCUCUGCAUAAGUCAUGGGAAUAGUAGCAUUUGUGAAUAUUUUCUCACUGAAGGGAAAAAAAGAGUGAGAAGAACAAGAAGGCUAAAAUUUCAAAAGCUCUUAUAAUACAUAUUCAAGAUAACAACUACUUUAUUAUGUUUUUUAGAAAUUUCUAAGGCUACUUUAUCAUAUACAGUUACCUUUUUCUGUAGAAGUGCCAAACAAAUCCUAGAGUCCCUUGUGGCCCAGUCUCAUAAAGGUAUCACCUAUAACAGAUGGGUGAUAACGGUCCAGCCACCGAAAGUAAGUAAUCCCAGCUUUUUUUGCAUGAACAGCUAGGUGGUAGCCAAUAUCAGCAGAACUUACCCACAAACAGGUCUCGUCUUCCAGGUUCAAGAACAACUAUGCUUCCCCAACCCCUUGCAAGUCAGGCAGCCCAUGAGGCAGGUGCAUUCAAGGGGCUACAAGCUGAAAUCUCUGCCAGGCAAUAGUUUGGAAUAGUUGUUGUGAAGUCUCUAUGCCUUCUCCUACCCUGCCAUUCUUAUGACAGUAGAGUCAUAAGUUCAAGAAGGUAGGGCCACCAAGUCACAACAUGGAGGUUACCUGCACUGAAGAGUCACUGGGACCUUAUUCUAGACUUUGUGCAAGAAAUGAAUUUUUGUUAUAGGAAGCCACAGAAAUUUGGGAGUUGUUUGCUACUUGCAAGCAACAGAGGCUAGCCUAUCUUCAACUAGCCUUAGAACAAAUCCAGUUCCAACUCUCUGCAGUGCUUCCUGAAACCCCCAUCCACUCUCCUCUCCACUCCUCUCUAAAUUCUCUCCCAGCCUCCCUGUUCCAGAGCCUCCUCCUCUCUCAACCAGCAAUCAGAACUCCAGAUUGUUUUUUCUUCCCUGUCCUCCUUGCUCUGUAAUCCUGUCUCACAGAAGCCCAAGAGCUGGGUUGACCAAAGUCAAACUCUAUUUAGAUGGCUGAGGAUGAGAAUGAACCAAGCUUUCUGGGGUUUGGAGAGGUGGGUUCUGUGAUGAACAAAACAGGGUGGAAGAAAUGGAAACACUUGCUUGAUGAAAAUGUUUUCCCCAUCAUAUUUGGCUUUGGUCCCUAAAUAAGUAAAUACAGGUGUUAAAAUUCAUACCUUAGUGACUUAUUCUUCCCUGCUAGCCUGUUGAAAUUACUAGUGUAUAUACAUUUUAUUUUUGAGCAAUAGGUGCUCUUAUCCCUUGACCUCAGUUUUCCAGUCCAUUGGUGGUACCCACCUCAGCCAUCAUUCAUGUGAAUAUGCCCUCUAGUGUUUUACAGUGUUCAAUCUACAGGACCAAAACAGACACCAUCUCCAUGGCACUAGUAACAUGGUAUUCAAAGAGUUGGGAAAAAAAAGCAUAAUUCACCAAAUACAGUUAACAUAAAAGACUAUGCAAACAUUUAAUUAAGACUUUUAGUGAAUUUUUGAACAUUAUUACGAAAAUCCACAAAUAUCAGUACCUACUGUUAUAAACUCUGUAUUAGUGGAUGAGGGGGUUACGAAAAGAUGCAAGACCUGGUCUCAAGAAAAAACCCUCUGCAUAGGGAGAUAGGAUGCAUUCAGGAAAAGACAAACACCAGCGGAAGAUUACGUUUAACACAGGCAAAACAAGUGGAAUUCAUAAUGACAUGUUAUGACGAAAGUGGGCCAAAGUGAUGAAGGAAACCAGUGGAAAAGGGGAGUAUUGAGCUCGCCAAUAGAUGAGUGCAAAUCUGAAAAAGAAGGAAAGAAAUGUGGAAACCAUCUUUACAUCUCACCAAGAGCUGCAGUGUUUGCUGACAGGACUAUAAAAAAAGAUCAUUUGUCAUUGUGUGGGACUAAAUCAUUUCCAAGGCCACCCAGAACAAACUGGAAGAGAUGCUGCUCUCAUAUUUCACAGGAAUGCUUGGUAGUGACAACUUCACAUCUCAGAGAGAGCACUCUUCUAUCUCCAUAAUCAAAAGCAUCUAAUCAACACUCAUGGAAGUGAGAGUGUAAAAAGUGCGCCGUGCAGACAGGACCGCUGCCCUCUAAGGGAUGACAAUCUAUAAUGGCAAGCCUGGCUUUCCAAACACUGAGACAUCAUUAACAUAGCUAAGGAUGAAGAAAGCAUUUUCUGCAAGCCUCGCUGCUAUCAGACAGAACAAUUUGUAGUCAUCACUGAUCUGAGCUGAAUUCAAAUUGGUGACCCAAAGGCUCCACAGUCUGGGUGUUAUUUUCAAUCUCCUUAGCUAUCCAAUCUCCAGAAGUUUCAUUUUUCAUUCUUACUGUGCAGUCAUCAUCAACUACCAAAGGGAAAGACUGCAAUCCAGACACACUAAAAAUAGUCUUCUUGCCUUCUGAAAGCCAGACUCAGAUUUAUGACAGUUUUAAAAUUUGGUUCUUCGUCUUAAAAGUUCAACAUUCUAUAAGAACAGUGCAAAGUAAUACCUGCCUGGUCUUUAGAGCAUGAAACACCAUAACUUGAUGCAGCAAGAGAUCAGGUUUCAAUGUAAUCCAUUUACAUUAGGGAGCGAGCAUUUUCCUUUGCUUGACAGGUUGAGGUGGCUUCAUGUGCUUUCCACUUAAUCAGCAGAAUCAUUAAAGCACUGAGGGUUUUGAUGGUCUCAAUAAAAAACAUCUAUUUCUGUAGAACCUAUCACUAUAAAUAAUUUAACAAAUAGAGCCCCCCAACAAAGACUAUAAAAAGAGGAAGAAUUAUUCUUUCGUACUUAAAUCAUAGACCACUCUGAAGUUGAGCUGAAGGGAGUUCAGGUUUAAAGCCAGGGCAGAAUGAUGUCCAGUGAUAAAUCCUAAAGAUAAAAUUAAAAGCAGUUAUAGAAGAGUAUAGUCCAAUUUCUGUUUUAAAUAUAGGUAUGUGUGUUUGUGUUUAUACUUCUAUUAAAAAGUUCUGAGAGAAUUACAUCAAUAUAAAUUGUUGACAUUAUGAAUCAGAGUGGUGACUUGUAGAGAGAAUUUCACAUUCUCUAUCUUUACACAAUAAUCUUGUCUUAGAAAAAAUAAAGUUAUUUUCAUUCAUGUGCUAAUACAUAGACAUGUGACUACAUAUCAGCACAUGUCAACUAUAUAUAGUAACAUAAAUUUAUACCAGGGAAAAUCAAGCUGGAUUUCAAACUCCUUCUGACCCUGAGGAUAUCAAGACUUGGCUGUCAGAGAGGGAGUGGCAUUACCCCAGGAACAUACACUGGGAAACUAACUUCACUCUAGAAGUUAGAGGCAACUGACUAAGACUGAGGCUAAGAGGGAACUGGUUAUAGGAUGUGUCCCCAGAUGGGUGACCAGCAGUCCACAUGACAACAUUCAAGAGAGAGCUAAUAUGGUGGCAGCAGUCUUGGGACAAUAGUGUGCGCUGGUUCUUAGGUGUGUUGUAGCAUCUUGGUUUGGGAGUGAGCAGAGAGCUAUUCAUCUGGUUGAAGCAGAACCUCAACCAGCCAGGGAGAGAGGGCAGGUGACAGUUUGCAAGUCCAACCCUGGACAAAAAGUUGAUCUCGGAUAGGUCUCUCAUUUCAACAGAGAAUUAUAACAACCAGGAGCCAGAGAAGAAUUGUAGCCAGGUUUAGGGACAGGUUGGGGUAAGCAAAGAGGCCUCAGUUAAAUGGGCACACCUCACACCAAGGUCCAUGAGCUCAUGCUAGAUUCUAAAUUAUGAUAUUGGUGGAAAGAAGUUGCCUUGUUUAGACCCAGGCCUGCCUCUUCUUGGCUCAGAAACCAGGCUAGGGGUCCAAGAGGUCAUAGUAUCAAAAUUAAAGCAACACUGGACAGGCAAAAUCAAUACCAGCAGGUGAGAACUUUCUCACCAAAAUUAAGGUUAUUUUUUACUCUAGUUCUCAUCAGUUGACGUGUAAACAGGAUGAUGUCUGGUUCCAGGAGUAGAUUUUCUGGAAACUUAUAGAACAUUCUGUUAUCAAGGCCAGGAUUGCCUGUUUGGUAGCCAUGAGCCUCUGAGGUCCUGACUUUACUUAAAAGAAGACAAAGAGAAGUCUGUUUCACAGAGAAUCUUCAAAGAUUUUACCUAUGCCUGGUAUUCAUCUGGAAAGCAAGGGAACUCACAUGCACAAAUAACCUCACAAAUAACACAAUAACAUUUAGAAUAAGGAUUCUAAAUGUCAGAAGGAACAGCCCUAUCUCAUCUAGAGGACGGGAUCUUUCCCUGUCCCCUAUGACCAGUUCCUUCCCCCCCUUCCCGCCAAAAGCUCUCAGCAUCUUGAGACAUUAAACUAAGUGAGCUAACAUUAUAGUCUCCACCAUUUCCAGAAUCAAGAGAUCAAAUUCAAUCCCAAUCUGAAUCAAGAGAUCAAAUAUAACUCCCAUAUAUAAGUGGGGGGGGAAGAAAACAGAAUAUUCUAAGACUACAAGCUCUCAGGGAAUUGCCACGAGGCAGUAUCUCCUGGGCAGGGAGAUGCUGGAGAGCAGAGGGAGAGCCCAGGUAGGGCUCCAGGAUCACUGCUCUCAAAUGAAAGAGUUCAAAAUAGCCCCAACGUCCAACUGAAAUGAUCAGCCACACAUCCUUGUUUUAUCCAGAGUCUCUUGAAGUCAAAAUAUUAAAUUUGUUUCAGGAUGCUCUGAUUUGCAAACCAUGCUUCUUUGGCAGGUGGGUAUUUCAUUACCAAAAAUAAAAGAAUGGCAUUUCCUUCUCCCAAUUCACAAGGGAAAACAUCCUAGUAAAUUGCCAGAAUUUUUUGUUUUAAGAUUUUUCUCUCCUAACCAUUUCUUAGAUUUGUGGUACCUGCUAUCAGUGGGGAUAGAUCCAUGACAGACUGUCUAGGGGAGUUAGAGCCACAGAGAAGACAUGGUCCCUGUCAGAAGCAUCACCCCAGGCAGGGAGAGGGUGUGAGUGGGAAGGGGCAUGUGUGUGGGAGAGUUUGUAGGAGGCUUAGGGUGGGGGAAGUGGUAGAAAAAUAUCCUGCCUUCUCCUUCCCAAUCUGCCUGUGGUCUCCUGCUUUGGCCUCCUAUUGACCAAAUAGGAAUCAGCUGUCAUAGGAACUUGCAGGUUCAGACUCCUGGAUAUCAAACCAGAGCAGAGAAGAGCAAUAAAAGAAUCUAAAGGCAAAGAGGCCAAGGACCACAACUAUGGCAUCCAAUUUAGUGAGAACUGACAGAUUAGUUAUGAUAUGUUUAUAAAAUUACUAUUUCUGGUUGGGGUCCUCUGUGCUUCUAUAAUAUCUGGGUAUCCUUGCACCUGGCUUAGUCUGAGCAUGAUUUCUGAAUUUAUAACAGUGUUCUCAAACUGUGUUCCAUAGAUCCAGAAGUCCAUGGAGCUCUCCUCAGUAGCUGAUGUGCAGAGUGGAUCAAGUACCCCGGAGUCUCAGCCUCUCUACUUCAGCCUCAGCGGCACUGCUUUUUAUCGGUUUUACACCACUGGAUCUAUGUGAGAUUUUUGCUUAACAAAGAACUCCUAACUUGACAGAUAGAAAUUCAUUGGCACAUCAAGUAACUGCUAAGACUCAUCUCAAUGGUUGCAUUACAUGUUUUCCUGUACUUUUUCUUAUGAUAGUAAGUUAUUACUUUCCUAUGUUUUAUACUCUGCCACAUUUAUAAACUAAAUCCAAACACAGGCAGCCCCAGCAUAGAAUGUGUGCACCUAUGUAGUGAUAAGCCAACUGUUUGGAAUUUCAAUGUUUUUUCCCAAAAUAAUAGCAAGACAGUUAGAAGCCCAGACCAGCCCACACAAUCCCAAUUAACCACAAUGUACCUGAAAUAGAAUUCUAUGCUCAUGAUAAAUAAAUAAGAACCUGGACAUGAAUUAUAAUAACAUUUGAAAGGAAGAUGUAUUUCAGGUUCCAAGUAAAUUCAGAAAACCCACAGCUUUCCCUGCAGUAGAAUCUGAGGCUCUCACAGCCUCACUACCUUCCAGGCAGGGAAAGAGUGUCUUUGCCAGGUCCAAGCUAUUGUUAGUGGUCACUGUGGAAAACAAAGUCAGCAUUUCCAGCUUAUAUUGAGAGACAGGAUUGGGACCAAUAAGGAUAACUGAGGAAUGUUGAAAGUAAGAGUUCCUGCGCAGAAGAACUCUGCAGACCAUUUCCCCUCUUCCAGUUUGUUUAUCUGUUUGACUCAUUGUUGUUGAUAUUGUUUGGCACUGCUGGGGAAUUCAUGACCUUGCUCCUGCUAGGCAAGCACUCUGUUACUAAAUUACCCCUCUAGCUCUUUAGGAGUUUCUGGCUCUCUGCUUCCUGAUAGCCAAGUCCUGAGCUGCUUUCCUCCACCUCUUCCCCGAUGAUGUCCUGUCUCACCUUGGGCCCAGAGCAAUAGCAUCAGCCAUCUUUGGACUAAGACCUCUGCAACUAUGGCACCAUAGUUUUCUUCCUAAAAAAAAAAAAAAAAGAGAGAGAGUUUCUACUUUGGUUUUUUCCUCCAGCUUUCUUAAAAUAUGAUUAUCAAAAAAUUGUAUAUUUUUAAGAUAUAUAAGGUGACAUUUUAUUAUAAGUAUACUUGUGUCCUUGUGUAGUGAUCUCUAUAAUCAAGCUAAUAAUAUGUCCAUUACCUGAUAUAGAUGCCAUUUUGUGUGUGUGUGUGUGUGUGUGUGUGUGUAGUGAGGACACUGAAGAUUUACUCUCUUGGCAAACUUCUUUUUUUUGGCGGGGGGCAGGGGCAGUGGUGGGUACCAGGGAUUGAACUCAGGGGCCCUUGACACAUCCCCAGCCCUUUUUUGUAUUUUAUUUAGAGACAGGGUCUCACUGAGUAGCUUAGUGCCUCAUUUUGCUAAGGCUGGCUUUGAACUCGUGAUCCUCCUGCCUCAGCCUCCUGAGCCACUGGGAUUACAGGCGUGCACCACCACACCUGGCCUCUCCUGGCAAAUUUCAAGUAGAAACACACUAUUAGUAACUAGUUACUGUGAUGUACAUUAGAUCCCCUAAAUGUAUUCAUCUUAUAAUUGAAAGUUUAUACUGCUUAACCAACAUCUCCCCAUUUCCAACCCCCUCACUCCUAACAACCACCACCCUACUUUCUGCUACUCCAUGUUUGACAUUUUUAGAUUCCAUAUUUAAAUGAUAUCAUGAAAUAUUCAUCUUUCUGUGGCUGGCUUCUUUCACUCAAUAUAGUGUCCUCAAAGUUCAUCCACAUUGUCCCAGAGAGUAGGACUUCCUUUCUUUUUAAGGCUGAAUAAUAUUCCUCUGUGUGGAGGGGGGGCGUGUAAUUUCUUUAUCCAUUCUUCUGCUAAUGGAUACAUUGUUUCCAUAUCUUAAAUACUAUGAAAAAUGCUAUAAUAAACAUGUAAAUGCAGAUAUAUCUUUGAAAUAUUCUUUUAAUUUCCUUCAGAUAUAUACCCUUAGUGGGACUGCAGAAACAUAUGCUAGCUCUAUUUUUAAUUUUUUGAGCAACCUCCAUAUAGUUUUCCAUAAUGGCUGUAAAAAUUUAUAUUUUCACCAACAAGAGUUUCCUUUGCUCCACAUUCUUACCAACACUGUUUUCUCUUGUACUUUUUAAUAAUAGUCAUCCUAACAGGUAUGAGGUGAUAUCUCAUUGUGGUUUUAAUUUGCAUUUCCCUGGUAAUCAGUGAUGUUGAGCACAUUUUCACCUAUCUGUUGGCCAUUUAUAUUUCUUCUUUUUAAAAAAUGUCUGUUGAAGUCUUUGUUCAUUUUCUAAUUGUGUUAUUUGUGGGAGGAGGUUUGUUUUUGUUUUGCUAUUGAGCUGCAUGAGUUCCUUAUUAUCAUGAAUAUUAAUGCUUUUAUAUAUAAAAUAAUAGCAAGACACAAUCCCAAUUAACCACAAUGUACCUGAUAUAUAUGGGUGAUGGCUCACUUGGAUUCCACCUUUGCAUUCAUCCUUGGAUUAAGGGAUACCUAGGUAGCUGGUAAAGCAGCAUUUCUAGGUGUGUCUGUGAGAGUGUUUCUGGAGAUGUGCGUGUGAGUCAAUGGACUGAGUUAAAAAGAUCUGCCUUCAAUGUGGGUGCCCCAUGAUUGACUCAGGACCCAGAAAGACAGAGGAAAGCUAAAUUCAUUUGUUCUCUCUUUCUUGGAGCUGGGGCACCCUUCUUUUCCUUCCCUUCCACACCAGAACUCUAGAUCGUCUAGUGCUUGGACUCCAGAACUUGUACAUGUGUAUCCUCAACCCCAUCCCAAGCCUUUGGCAUUUGGCCAAGAGUUAUCCAAUUGGCUUCCCCAGUUCUGAGCCANAUGUCAAGGAAUUUGUUCCCUGUGUGUACUUCUAGGAGUUUUACAGUUUCAAAUAUUACAAUUAAGUCUUUAAACCAUUUUGAGUUGAUUUUGGGGUAUAAGAAUCCCAUUUUAAUCUUUUGUAUGUGACUGAUUUUCUCAGCACCAUUUAUUAGCAAUUUAUCCAUCCAUUCACCAAGAGACUAUCCGCUCCCCAUUCCAUAUUCUUGGCACCUUUAUCAAAGUUUAGUUGACUGUAUGUGCAUAGAUUUGCUUCCUUCCAUUUUAAUUCCACAAUGGGAUUAGCACCUUAUCUUUUUCCCUAUCCACCCUAGAACUUGGCCUAUUCACUCUCCCUCCCUUCACUCCAAGCAUUGUUCCUAACCAUAGCUUCUCUCUUCUCCAGACUUUGGAAGAAGAGAAUCUAGUCUCAUAAUUUAUUCCUUUCAGAAUUUAGUUCUUUGGAUUCUAAAAUUUCAGAAGAAUUUCUCUGUGAGAAGGAAGAAGCAGGGACAUAGGACUCCUCUGGGUCCCUUCUGCACUUUGAAUAAUGCUUUCAUCUCAACUCUCUCUACCCUCUCAUCUUCACUUGAGGGCCCCACCUAUAUUUCUUAGCAACUGACAGUUACUAUGCCCAGGUUUCCCCUUGAAGCCAAAUUAAGUUUAGAUGAAGUUGACUUCUCACUCUUCUUGCUUAUUGGUGGCUCAAGUACUAAUCAUAAAAAUAUGUAGAAUAAAUCAAAGUUUGAAAAGUUAAAAAAAAAGAAGUAAUCAUAUCAUACACAUGACUGACCAAUGAAGAAAUGACCUCAGGCCACUUUGAAUAACUACCUUUCAAUUCUAAAGAAACUAUUUUAAAACACUGACCAGAAUUACCAGGUUCAGAUGGCCCUUUUGAUUUCCCCUCCCAAGCUCUACUCUAGAUCAUGUCCAGAGGCCAAAGUCUACACCCUCAAUAACUGUACAGUAUUGCCAAGAAAAGCCUGGAACUUGGUGUUAGCCAGGAAUCAACAUAGUCGACAGUGACCAGAAAGUUACCUUGGUGAAACAGGAUGCUAGAAUGAGGCUCUCCUUCCCUGCAUUUCUACUGAAGUACAAAUAUGAACAUGAUAAAUAUCAGCAUAUCAGGUGAGGUUAAGUUUCCUCACCCAAAUAUAGACUAAGAACUUCAUUAGAGCAGUAAUGGUUGAUUUUUAUGUGUCAACUUGUAUAGACAGUAGUAUCCAGUUUUUGAUCAAACAUUAUUUCUGAUGUUUCUGUGAAAAUAUUUUUUAGCUAAGAUUAAUAUUUAAAUCUGAAGACUUUGACUAAAGCAGAUUACCCCCCUGAAUAUGGGGCCUCAUCCAAUCAGUACAAAACUUUAACAGAAACAGACCAACCUCCCAAGAGAAGAAAAAAAAAUGUUUUUUUUUUUUCUUCUAGCAGACCUUGGACUUGAACUGCAAACCCCGCUUGAGUAUUCACACCUUCAAAAUAGAUUGAAGAAAGUUUGAGAAGAAGUUUUCUUCAAAGAGAGAAAUUGUUUUUCUGGGAGUCCCAGCUCACUCUUCAGGGGAGAGGUUUGAAGUAUCACCUUCCACCCUAGGUAAAAUGAGACAGGCUCUAAGGACCUGCUUAGAGAGCUCUGAAAUGUAUUUUCUGACUUGUUCUGGUGCCUAACUUUGAUAAAUCUGAAGUCAACAAUAGACUUGGGUCUCACAUCCAAUCCAUUCCCUCAGGAAAAUUUAGAGGACAGAAAAAGGCUGACUAAACUCUCCAUGGUGGUCCUUAGAAGGGUAUUUUUUUUUUAAUAUCGGUUGUAGUUGGACACAAUACCUUUAUUUUAUUUAUUGUUAUGUGGUGCUGAGGAUCAAACCCAGGGCCUCACACAUGCAAGGCGAGCGCUCUACCGCUGAGCCACAACCCUUAGAAGAGGGUUUUAACAACAAAUGUGAUGAGCCUGAUCUCCCAGGUUUGUCUAGGAUUGAGAGAAGUAUAGAGAAGAGCCAGGGUUUUGCUUUGUUUUGUUUGUUUUAGUUGUCAAUGAAUCUUUUGUUUUAUUUAUUUAUAUGCGGUGCUGAGGAUUUAACCCAAGACCUCACACAUGCCAGGCAAGCGCUCUACCACUGAGCCACAACUCCAGCCCCAGAGAAGAACCAGUUUUGUGUCCAAUAGGGACUUCAAGAAGAGGUCAAAGAGUUAGCACCUCAUGUCCAGAGAUUAAGAAAAGGAGUUAUAGGAGCUGGGAGUGUAGCUUAACGUAAAGUGCUUGCCUAGCAUGAGUGAGGCACUGGGUUCAAUCCUCAGCACUGCAUGAAAAAUGAAUAAAUAAAAUAAAGAUAUUGUGUUCAUAUACAACUAAAAACAAAAUUUAAAAAAAAGAAAAAGAAAGAAAGAAAAGGAGUCAUAGAAAAUCACUCAAAAGAAAGAAGCUUCUUCCUGGGUUAAAGAGAGGGAGGAAGAGAAUCCCAAUAGGGUACGUAUGAGAAGCCCACAAAGAGAGAGAAGAAUGGGCUGAUAGCCUAGCAAGCCAACCAGGGAUACCAGCUCCAACCACCCCCUGGGCCUAGACAGGAGCCACCCAGCCAAGGAGAACCUCCCUCACUAUACAGCUGUCUUCAUGCCUUCCUGAGCUUCCACUCCCUGGGGUAGGAAGCCCAGCUGGGAGCAGGGUGAGAAUGGGGAACUGAAGGACCACGCCCCUUGACCACUGAGGACUUCUGGGAAGAAAUAGGCCUAUCUGGGAUAGAAGGGGAAAUAAAAACAGCAGGCCCAUCUCAAGUUUUGAUAACACCAACCUGGACAUUCCCACUGUAAAGCAAAUCUCUGGUCUGACUUAAAGUAACUCUAGGGUUAUCUGUUACUUUAGAGUGGGUAGAAAAACCUUGGCUGGGUAGCUUCAACCAAUAUUAGGGAAAGAUGACUCCCCACUGAACAAAGCUUAAGGAAGCAGUAGGAGUUGUUAUGAUGACAACCCGCACAUCCUGCUGCUGCAGCCUGCCAGCCACAUUUGCUUGCCCAGCUGGUGUGACUUGUAACAACCGGCCUCAGAUCUCAUCCUGUGUGAAUGACAAGUGAUUGAAAUCAUUGCUUUUGCUUUUGGAUUUUCCCCAAAGAGAAAAAUGUCACCCAUGUGGUUUGGAGAGCAAGAACUUGGUCAAAUGCUAUGAACAGAACCAGGACCAGUAGCCAGGUUGGUGAGGGGUAAGAGGUGGCCUAGGCCUGACAACGUUCUAUAUUUAUUUUAUUCUCUGCUAACAAAAACCAGCACAAAAUUUCAUUAAAGUCAUAAGUGACACACAUUUUUCUUUUUAAUGGCGGAGAAAGUUAGAUUCCCUCGGUUUCAAAAGGACACCAGAUUUCUUUUAUCCUUCUAAUAUUUGAUAAGAGAAGUUGUGACAGUGAGAACCAAUGGGGUUUGAGACUCCUUAGGAAAAGAAAUAGAGGUGGCAGAAUACAGCCCUGAGGAACUCUGACCAAGGCAGGAGCACAGGUAGGUGGUUGGGCAGAAGAAACAAAGAGAGAAGGCAGUGCAUCAGGAGGGGAAGGGAAGGAGAAGAGAAUCUCAAGAAGAGGUGAUGGUGGAGCAGAGUGUUCCUCAGGCUGCCUGCCACCUAGCUUCAGCAGCCCUUCCAGAGCAAAGGUACUUAUGUCCUGGAGGGUCCAUCGUAGGCUGUACCAUCCUGACUCUGCUCGAAGCCUUUGGUCUUUACCAUCCAGACUCGGAUCAUCUGUACCCAAGACAGAGAAACAGCAAUGCCCAGAAACUAAAUCACUUUCCUGAAACUGACAACGAGAUAAGCUCCAUUUCGGUAGCAAAAAGACAAAUGUUUUACACAGUCAAGUUAUCAAAGCACAUUAAAGGAUAGCUUUAAAUUUAUACAGGUACAUUUCUUGCUGAAGGUGUUAUUUAAUAAGGCCUAAAGUAAAAUUGAAAGCGGAAGCAUAGUGAGUUUUUUGAAGUAUUUAUAUUAUUAUGUUCCUGACUGAAGAGAUAAAUUUAGUAGUUGUUUCUCAGGUAACUAAACUUUGCUGUCUGACUUAGUUUUUUAUGUAUUUAAUUUGACUUUAAAUCUGAAUUCUGUGCAAAGUUCCAUAACUGCUUUAAAAUAUGGGCUUUAUUAGAGAUGUGAAAACUGAGAAUGCAGUCAUAUUUUCUUAUUAUUAACUCAUCACAUAAUACUAAGGCAGGGAAUGGAGACUUGGGACACUCAGAUACUCAAAUUGGGAAGAGUCAAAUCAAGUAACUAUGUCUUCUCAUGACCCUGAGAAUAAUUGUGGUUGUACAAAAAAAAGAACUUGACCUCUUCACUCUCAACAUCCCUUGGUUUUAGAGAUGAAUAGCAUACUAUUUCAGUUCAAUAAAAAGUUUAGCUUUGUACUGGGGUUGUGGCUCAGUGGUAAAGUGCUUGCCUAGCAUGUGUGAAGCCCUGGGUUUGAUCCUCAGCACCACAUAUAAAUAAAUGCAUAAAAUAAAGGUCCAUCAACAACUAAAAAAUAUAUAUUAAAAAAAAAAGUUCAACUUUUGUAUACAGAUUUUUAGAGGUUUGUUUUGCUUUCUUGCCUACUGGUUCAUUGUGUUUUGUUUUGUUUUGUUUGUGGAAACAGGGGCUUGUUUUCAAAAACUGCAUUUAAAGAGAUAUCUUUAGACCAGAUUAGUAAAUGAAAGCUACACAUCUCCACUUUUAAGAAGAGAUUGGAUGUUUGAGGAAGCCAUGGUCAAUUCUCCAGGCUGACUCAGAUUCCAGAAAAUCAGAUUAAGUCAUCAUCAGUGCCACUCAUUGAUGACUAUUUCCUGAGUGAGAUAUACAUGUAUAAUCUAGGUAAGCAAAUAACUGCAAUACAAGGCAGAAUGAAAAACAAAAUCAAACGUACAACCAGAGACAUGAAAAAUUGUGUUCUAUAUGUGUACUAUGAAUUGAAAUGCAUUCUGCUGUCAUGUAUAAAAAAUUAGAGUAAAUAAAUAAAUUUUAAAAAGCAAAAAACCAAACAAACACAAAACCCCCACAGGUGUAAUGCAAAACGCUUAAAUCCUACAGGAGCCUCUGAUUUAAAGAUGAAGUAAAGCUAGGCACAGUAGUGCAUGCCUAUCAUCCCAGCAGUUCGACAGGCUAAGGCAGAGGAUCACUAAAGUUCAAAGCCAGCCUCAACAACUUAAUGAGUCCCUAAACAACUUAGCGAGACACUAGUUAGCUCAGUGGUUAAGCGCCCGUGGGUUCAAUCCCCAGUACCAAAAAAAAAAAAAAAUGAAGUAAAGAUAAAGUAAAAUACUCAGUCUCAUCAAUUACUUGAAACAAUAAAGAGAAGCAAAUAAAGCUGUGUUUGUCUGGCUCUUUAGAGUAGCAGAUACUAAACUGGACUAAACAUACAAGAAUUUUAUGAGUGUAAAUGUCUGUGUAAGAGGCCUAACUAAACAACAUGGGCACCUUCAAGCUUAAGACUGAUUUCCAUCCUUAGGUGCAACAAGAAUAACUGAAAUUUGUCCUUAUCCAUCCAAUGUUGAAAAUAACACCUACUAUAUAAGCUUAAAUGAGGGAAGGGAGGGACCUAGCACAUAGAGGGUGCCCUAUAAAUCCUAGUCUCUUCUUCCACAGGACCACGUGCUAGAACACAUGACUAGCUCUUUGCACUUAUCAAAGAGGAGCUGCUGAGGUCACUUUAGUGUCGUUUGGCCUGGAGCUCACACUGCAGUCAUGUGUCACUCCUCUGUGCAGCAGCUGGUUGCACACCCCUGUUGGAACCUGCCAACUGCAGAGGGCCAGCAGGUAGACUAGAGGGAGCCAGUGGAGACCACACCUCCUAAAAGGCACUUCUGUGAGAAAAAAAAAAGUGCUGUUUGUCCAUAGACUACUCAAGAACAAUCUACAGAGAGGAAUAUCCAAAUAGCUGAAGGACUAUGAGAAAAAUAUAAAAUGUCAUUAUUGUUAUGAUUUGGAUGUGAGGUGUCCCCCGAAAACUCACAUGUGAGACAAUGCAAGAAGGCUCAGAGGAGAAGUUAUUGGGUUAUAAGAGUCUUAACCCAAUCAGUGAAUUAAUCCCCUGAUAGGGAUUCACUGAGUGGUAAUUGAAAUGGUAGGGUAUGGCUGGAGGAGGUGGAAUUGGGGCGUGGUUUGGGGGUAUAUAUUUGUAUCUGUCAAGUGGAGUCUCUCUUUCUCUGCUUCCUCCUCAUGAUGUGAGCUAUUUCCCUCCACCACACUCUUCUACCAUGGUGUUCUGCCUCACCUGGAGGGAUGGAGCCAGCCUUCUACGGACGGAGACCUCUGAAACUGUGAACCCUUAAAUAAACCUUCUUUCCUCUACAAUUGUGCAAUUGUGUUAGUUGGGUCCUUUAGUCACAGCAGCAAAAAAAAAA
rnacentral:lncRNA from 1 species